AAUUCGCCCUUAGAGUUUGAUCAUGGCUCAGAUUGAACGCUGGCGGCAUGCCUUACACAUGCAAGUCGAACGGCAGCGCGGACUUCGGUCUGGCGGCGAGUGGCGAACGGGUGAGUAAUACAUCGGAACGUACCCUGUUGUGGGGGAUAACUAGUCGAAAGAUUAGCUAAUACCGCAUACGACCUGAGGGUGAAAGUGGGGGACCGCAAGGCCUCACGCAGCAGGAGCGGCCGAUGUCUGAUUAGCUAGUUGGUGGGGUAAAGGCCCACCAAGGCGACGAUCAGUAGUUGGUCUGAGAGGACGAUCAGCCACACUGGGACUGAGACACGGCCCAGACUCCUACGGGAGGCAGCAGUGGGGAAUUUUGGACAAUGGGGGCAACCCUGAUCCAGCAACGCCGCGUGUGUGAAGAAGGCCUUCGGGUUGUAAAGCACUUUUGUCCGGAAAGAAAUCGCGCUGGUUAAUACCUGGCGUGGAUGACG
rnacentral:rRNA from 1 species